rnacentral:rRNA from 1 species
AUUGAACGCUGGCGGCAGGCCUAACACAUGCAAGUCGAGCGGAUGAAGGGAGCUUGCUCCUGGAUUCAGCGGCGGACGGGUGAGUAAUGCCUAGGAAUCUGCCUGGUAGUGGGGGAUAACGUCCGGAAACGGGCGCUAAUAACGCCUACGUCCUGCGGGAGCAAGUGGGGGAUCUUCGGACCUCACGCUAUCAGAUGAGCCUAGGUCGGAUUAGCUAGUUGGUGGGGUAAAGGCCUACCAAGGCGAGGAGCCGUAACUGGUCUGAGAGGAUGAUCAGUCACACUGGAACGGAGACACGGUCCAGACUCCUACGGGAGGCAGCAGUGGGGAAUAUUGGACAAUGGGCGAAAGCCUGAUCCAGCCAUGCCGCGUGUGUGAAGAAGGUCUUCGGAUUGUAAAGCACUUUAAGUUGGGAGGAAGGGCAGUAAGUUAAUACCUUGCUGUUUUGACGUUACCAACAGAAUAAGCACCGGCUAACUUCGCG